rnacentral:lncRNA from 1 species
CGUUUAUACUAUACUUUGUUUUUAUAGUUUAGCCAAGUUUCAGAGGCCUCCAUUAAAUAACAGUCAAGAUAUACACGCAAAUAUAAUUUGCUUGUUUAUAUCUAAAAUUUGUAAUUGUUUCGUGAAGAUUCAACCAUCAAACAAUUGCCGGAAAUGGAAGCCCCGAUUAUAAAAACUCAGGGAAAAGCCGUGCGGUAUGAAAUGCGUGGCCUGUGCGUAAACAUGUC